GACGAACGCUGGCGGCGUGCUUAACACAUGCAAGUCGAACGGAAAGGCCCUGCUUUUGUGGGGUGCUCGAGUGGCGAACGGGUGAGUAACACGUGAGUAACCUGCCCUUGACUUUGGGAUAACUUCAGGAAACUGGGGCUAAUACCGGAUAGGAGCUCCUGCUGCAUGGUGGGGGUUGGAAAGUUUCGGCGGUUGGGGAUGGACUCGCGGCUUAUCAGCUUGUUGGUGGGGUAGUGGCUUACCAAGGCUUUGACGGGUAGCCGGCCUGAGAGGGUGACCGGCAACAUUGGGACUGAGAUACGGCCCAGACGACUACGGGAGGCAGCAGUGGGGAAUAUUGCACAAUGGGCGGAAGCCUGAUGCAGCAACGCCGCGUGCGGGAUGACGGCCUUCGGGUUGUAAACCGCUUUCGCCUGUGACGAAGCGUGAGUGACGGUAAUGGGUAAAGAAGCACCGGCUAACUACGUG
rnacentral:rRNA from 1 species